CCUACGUGAGGCAGCAGUGAGGAAUAUUGGUCAAUGGGCGAGAGCCUGAACCAGCCAAGUCGCGUGAAGGAUGACGGCCCUACGGGUUGUAAACUUCUUUUGUCAGGGAGCAAUUGGGUCCACGCGUGUGCUUAGCGAGAGUAACUGAAGAAAAAGCAUCGGCUAACUCCGUGCCGGCAGCCGCGGUAAUACGGAGGAUGCGAGCGUUAUCCGGAUUUAUUGGGUUUAAAGGGUGCGUAGGCGGAAUAUCAAGUCAGCGGUAAAAAUUCGGGGCUCAACCCCGUCGUGCCGUUGAAACUGGGGUUCUUGAGUGGGCGAGAAGUAUGCGGAAUGCGUGGUGUAGCGGUGAAAUGCAUAGAUAUCACGAAGAACUCCGAUUGCGAAGGCAGCAUACCGGCGCCCAACUGACGCUGAAGCACGAAAGCGUGGGUAUCGAACAGGAUUAGAUACCCCAGUAGUC
rnacentral:rRNA from 1 species